GAAGGUCAGGCUGAAGACUUACCCGAUUAGCUGAGAGGUGGUGCAUGGCCGUCGUCAGUUCGUACUGUGAAGCAUCCUGUUAAGUCAGGCAACGAGCGAGACCCACGUCCACAGUUGCCAGCAUACCCUCCGGGGUGAUGGGUACACUGUGGAGACCGCCGCUGCUAAAGCGGAGGAAGGAGUGGGCAACGGUAGGUCAGUAUGCCCCGAAUCUCCCGGGCUACACGCGGGCUACAAUGGUUGGUACAAUGGGCAUCUACCCCGAAAGGGGAAGGAAAUCUCUUAAAGCCAAUCGUAGUUCGGAUUGAGGGCUGCAACUCGCCCUCAUGAAGCUGGAAUCCGUAGUAAUCGCGUUUCAACAGAACGCGGUGAAUACGUCCCUGCUCCUU
rnacentral:rRNA from 1 species